GCGGGGGUAGCUCAACGGUAGAGCAGCAGCUUUACACGCUGACGGUUGCGGGUUCGAUUCCUGCCCUCCGCA
rnacentral:tRNA from 1 species